rnacentral:rRNA from 1 species
UGGGGAAUUUUGGACGAUGGGCGAAANCCUGAUCCAGCAAUGCCGCGUGUGUGAAGAAGGCCUUCGGGUUGUAAGGCACUUUUGUCCGGAAAGAAAAUCCUUGGCUCUAAUACAGUCGGGGGAUGACGGUACCGGAAGAAUAAGCACCGGCUAACUACGUGCCAGCAGCCGCGGUAAGACGAAGGGGGGCUAGCGUUGUUCGGAAUUACUGGGCGUAAAGCGAGUGUAGGCGGUUGCCGUAGUCAGGUGUGAAAGCCUUGAGCUCAACUCAAGAAAUGCACUUGAUACUGGGUGACUAGAGGACCGGAGAGGAUAGUGGAAUUCCCAGUGUAGUGGUGAAAUACGUAGAGAUUGGGAAGAACACCAGUGGCGAAGGCGGCUAUCUGGACGGUUACUGACGCUAAGACUCGAAAGCGUGGGGAGCAAACAGGAUUAGAUACCCUGGUAGUCCACGCCGUAAACGAU